rnacentral:rRNA from 1 species
CCUACGGGGAGCAGCAGUGGGGAAUAUUGGGCAAUGGGCGCAAGCCUGACCCAGCAACGCCGCGUGAAGGAAGAAGGCCCUCGGGUUGUAAACUUCUUUUGUCAGGGACGAAGAAAGUCACGGUACCUGACGAAUAAGCCACGGCUAACUACGGGCCAGCAACCGCGGGAAUACGUAGGUGGCAAGCGUUAGCCGGAUUUACUGGGUGGAAAGGGCGUGUAGGCGGGAGAGCAAGGCAGACGUGAAAUUCCAGGGCUCAAACCGGGAACUGCGUUUGAAACUGUUCUUCUUGAGUGAUGGAGAGGCAGGCGGAAUUCCGUGUGUAGCGGUGAAAUGCGUAGAUAUACGGAGGAACACCAGUGGCGAAGGCGGCCUGCUGGACAUUAACUGACGCUGAGGCGCGAAAGCGUGGGGAGCAAACAGGAUUAGAUACCCCAGUAGUC